AUCCUAUAAAAUCUUAUACUAGCUCAUUAAUGAAAACAAUAUAAUGUAAAUUUCUCCUAUACUCACAAAAUUAAGUACUGAAAAGGAAGUAAAAAUAUAUUAAAGUAGUGACACCCACGUACCUUGUGCAUUAUGGUUUUACAAGUCUAUAAUUAAAAAUUAACUCCCGAAUCCUACGCGAGCUGUCCACGUACAGCUUUGAACCCACCACUAGUUGUGGCACCAACUUUGGAAGAUACUUUGACAGAGGCUACAUACCACCCGCGCUAGUAAAUUGCUGGUUUUCAGAAAAAUUUAUAAAUUAAAACAUGUAGAAUUUCUGCAAUGUAAAAUUACAGAGGAUAAGCCCUGUAAUUAAAGCUAACAUCUAAAACCCCAAUAUGUAGGCCUAAAAACAGCCAUCCCAGUACGUUACUGUACUAAACUAUUUAAUUUCUACAACUUUAUGCCAUCUAUAUCUGAAACUAAGGACCAACUCAGUUCCUAAUUUAUUCUGUAAAAAUAAGUAUUUGAUUAAUAUUUAAUCUUUCCCAGACGCAUUAACCAGACUACCCAAAGCUUAUAAAGGAACUCGGCAAAAAUUAUUUCGACUGUUUAACAAAAACAUUGCCUCUUGAACUCUUAUAAGAGGUAAUUCCUGCCCGGUGAAUCAUAUUUAACGGCCGCGGUAUCCUAACCGUGCAAAGGUAGCAUAAUCACUUGCCCAUUAAUUGUGGGCUAGAAUGAAAGGACUAACGAAAUAAAAACUGUCUCUAUAAGCCCUCUAAAAAUUAACCUCUAACUGAAGACUGUUAGAUCCCCUCGACGGACAAGAAGACCCUAUAGAGCUUUAUUAUAAAAAAGUAUAUAACUUUUGCUAAUUCGGUUGGGGCGACCCGGGAAGUACACAAUCAUCCCUUUAUAACAGAUCAAUAAAUCGCACCCUUGACCCUCUUAAGAUCGUAAAAUCAAGCUACCUUAGGGAUAACAGGCUAAUCCCACUAAAGAGUCCUUAUCAAUAGUGGGGUUUGGCACCUCGAUGUUGGCUUAGGGAAUUCGUACGGCGCAAAAGUCGUAACAAAUGGUUUGUUCAACCAAUAAUACCCUACAUGAGCUGAGUUCAGACCGGCGUAAGCCAGGUUAGUUUCUAUCCUCGAUAUGUAAUCUAUUUAUAGUACGAAAGGACCUAAAUAUGAGUAAUAGUUAUUUCUAAGGAAACCACAUAAAGUAAAUUAAUUUACCUAAAAUAUAGACAAUG
rnacentral:rRNA from 1 species